GCUGGGCCCCAAGGUCAUGG
rnacentral:misc_RNA from 1 species